CCUACGGGCGGCAGCAGUGGGGAAUAUUGCACAAUGGGGGAAACCCUGAUGCAGCGACGCCGCGUGAGUGAAGAAGUAUCUCGGUACGUAAAGCUCUAUCAGCAGGGAAGAAAAUGACGGUAUCUGACUAAGAAGCCCCGGCUAACUACGUGCCAGCAGCCGCGGUAAUACGGAGGGGGCAAGCGUUAUCCGGAUUUACUGGGCGUAAAGGGAGCGUAGACGGCAGCACAAGUCUGGAGUGAAAUCCCAGGGCUUAACCCCGGAACUGCAUUGGAAACUGUGCGGCUGGAGUGCAGGAGGGGUAAGUGGAAUUCCUGGUGUAGCGGUGAAAUGCGUAGAGAUUAGGAGGAACACCGGUGGCGAAGGCGGCUUACUGGACUGUAACUGACGUUGAGGCUCGAAAGCGUGGGGAGCAAACAGGAUUAGAUACCCUGGUAGUC
rnacentral:rRNA from 1 species